rnacentral:rRNA from 1 species
GAUGAACGCUGGCGGCGUGCCUAAUACAUGCAAGUCGAGCGAACAGACGAGGAUCUUGCUCCUCUGACGUUAGCGGCGGACGGGUGAGUAACACGUGGAUAACCUACCUAUAAGACUGGGAUAACUUCGGGAAACCGGAGCUAAUACCGGAUAAUAUAUUGAACCGCAUGGUUCAAUAGUGAAAGACGGUUUUGCUGUCACUUAUAGAUGUAUCCGUGCCGCAUUAGCUAGUUGGUAAGGUAACGGCUUACCAUGGCAACGAUGCGUAGCCGACCUGAGAGGGUGAUCGGCCACACUGGAACUGAGACGCGGUACAGACUCCUACGGGAGGCAGAAGUAGGGAAUCUUGCGAAAUGGGCGAAAGACUGACGGAGCAACGCCGCGUGAGUGAUGAAGGUCUUCGGAUCGUAAAACUCUGUUAUUAGGGAAGAACAAAUGUGUAAGUAACUAUGCACGUCUUGACGGUACCUAAUCAGAAAGCCACGGCUAACUACGUG